rnacentral:lncRNA from 10 species
CCUAGCUGCUGAAAAACUGGAACAUUUGACACCCCUCUCCACCCCGCCUCCCCCCACCCCACACUGCCAUCUGUUACUCUGUUUAACCACCCUGGAUCUGGUGCACAGAUGGCAGCUGGCAUCAGAGCUGUUUGAGGCUGUGGUGUGAGUAUCUGAACAUUUACAGGUAUGUGAAGGAACUCCCAGUCGCAUCAGCUGCCCUGGGGCUUCCCAAGUGUGAACUGGAAUGGGUUUUCCCAGUCUGGCAAGUGCCCAACUGUCUGAUAAUUGAGAAGAGCCAGUCUGAAGAGCAGCUCCCAUUAUGGGUGAUAAGGGUCAGAGUACAGAUCAUAGGAAGAUGGGGAGUUUGUUCUCUCUCUCUUUUUUUUGAGUCGGAGUCUCACUCUGUCACCAGGCUGGAGUCCAAUGGUGCAAUCUUGGCUCACUGCAAUCUCUGCCUCCCAGGUUCAAGCGAUUCUCCUGCUUCACCCUCCUGAGUAACUGGGACUACAGGCGCGCAGUCCCACGCCCAGCUAAUUUUUGUAUUUUUAGUAGAGACAACCAUCCUGGCCAACAUGGUGAAACCCUGUCUCUACUGAAAAUACAAAAAUAUUAGCCGGGCAUGGUGGCAUAUGCUUGUAGUCCCAGCUACUCGGGAGGCUGAGGCAGGAGAAUCACUUGAACCCAGGAGGUGGAGCUUGCAGUGAGCCGAGAUCGCGCCACUGCACUCCAGCCUGGCCUAGGCGACAGAGUGAGACUCCGUCUC